rnacentral:rRNA from 1 species
AUUGAACGCUGGCGGCAUGCUUUACACAUGCAAGUCGAGCGGUAACAGGCCUUCGGGCGCUGACGAGUGGCGAACGGGUGAGUAAUGCAUCGGAACGUGCCCAGUCGUGGGGGAUAACGCAGCGAAAGCUGUGCUAAUACCGCAUACGAUCUGCGGAUGAAAGCGGGGGACCUUCGGGCCUCGCGCGAUUGGAGCGGCCGAUGUCAGAUUAGGUAGUUGGUGGGGUAAAGGCUCACCAUGCCAACGAUCUGUAGCUGGUCUGAGAGGACGACCAGCCACACUGGGACUGAGACACGGACCAGACUCCUACGGGAGGCAGCAGUGGGGAAUUUUGGACAAUGGGCGCAAGCCUGAUCCAGCAAUGCCGCGUGCAGGAAGAAGGCCUUCGGGUUGUAAACUGCUUUUGUACGGAACGAAAAGGCUCUGGUUAAUACCUGGGGCUCAUGACGGUACCGUAAGAAUAAGCACCGGCUAACUACGUGCCAGCAGCCGCUGUAACAC